UUUAAUGUGGCAGACAAAAUGCAAUGAGCUUAAAAUUCAUAUAUAAAUGUUUUCAUUUCUUUAAAA
rnacentral:tRNA from 1 species